CCAGCUAGCGGCGAGUGAAGCGGCAAGAGCUCAGAUUUGAAAUCGUGUUUCGGCACGAGUUGUAGAGUGUAGGCGGGAGUCUCUGUGGAGCGCGGUGUCCAAGUCCCUUGGAACAGGGUGCCUGAGAGGGUGAGAGCCCCGUAGGGUGCUGCGCGAAGCUUUUGAGGCCCUGCUGACGAGUCGAGUUGUUUGGGAAUGCAGCUCCAAGCGGGUGGUAAAUUCCAUCUAAGGCUAAAUAUUGGCGAGAGACCGAUAGCGAACAAGUACUGUGAAGGAAAGAUGAAAAGCACUUUGAAAAGAGAGUGAAACAGCACGUGAAAUUGUUGAAAGGGAAGGGUAUUGGGCUCGACAUGGGGGGUGCGCACCGCUGUCUCUUGUAGGCGGCGCUCUGGGCGCCCUCUGGGCCAGCAUCGGUUCCUGCUGCGGGAGAAGGGGCUCCGGAAAGUGGCUCUUCGGAGUGUUAUAGCCGGGGCCAGAUGCCGCGUGUGGGGACCGAGGACUGCGGCUUCUGUCUCGGAUGCUGGCAUAACGGCGCAAUACCGCCCGUCUUG
rnacentral:rRNA from 1 species